GACGAACGCUGGCGGCGUGCUUAACACAUGCAAGUCGAACGGAAAGGCCCCUUUGGGGGUACUCGAGUGGCGAACGGGUGAGUAACACGUGAGUAACCUGCCCUUGACUUCGGGAUAACUUCAGGAAACUGGGGCUAAUGCCGGAUAGGAAUCCUUGCUGCAUGGUGGGGGUUGGAAAGCUUCGGCGGUUUUGGAUGGACUCGCGGCUUAUCAGCUUGUUGGUGGGGUAGUGGCUUACCAAGGCUUUGACGGGUAGCCGGCCUGAGAGGGUGACCGGCCACAUUGGGACUGAGAUACGGCCCAGACUCCUACGGGAGGCAGCAGUGGGGAAUAUUGCACAAUGGGCGGAAGCCUGAUGCAGCAACGCCGCGUGCGGGAUGACGGCCUUCGGGUUGUAAACCGCUUUCAGCAGGGGCGAAGCUUGUGGUGACGGUACCUGCAGAAGAAGCACCGGCUAACUACGUG
rnacentral:rRNA from 1 species